GUUUGCGCUAGCGUUUCAUCCGAGUCAGUAAACAUGACUGAGCUAAUACAAUGGAAUGAACUUUAUGGAGAAGGGGGUUCUAGAAGAAAGAAGGCUCUCAGCUACUUCAUGUGAAAGCUUCCCCAUUGUACAAAUGGUUCUCUUUUCUUCCUCAAUUCUCUACUCCUCAUAGAGCCCCAAGCAGAAGUAAUGUUGCCACCACCCCGCUCUUUGGGCUCACCGGGGAGCCAUUUUGUCUGUAAUAUUAAGUAUAGUUCUUCUUCUUCUAAAUGUUGUAUUUAAGUUAGCGUGGGAUGGUCGGUAUAAGGGGAGCGGGGCCUUCCAAAGAAAGUCAAGAGUUUGGC
rnacentral:lncRNA from 1 species